AACGUACGCUGGCGGCACGCCUAACACAUGCAAGUCGAACGAAGUAGCAAUACUUAGUGGCAGACGGGUGAGUAACAUGUAGGUAUCUGCCCUUUGGCCUGGAAUAACACGAGGAAACUUGUGCUAAUACCGGAUAAGUCUUUACGGAGAAAGCUUUAUGCACCAUUGGAUGAGCCUGCACUUGAUUAGUUUGUUGGUGGGGUAAUGGCCUACCAAGACUGUGAUCAAUAGCUGAUUUGAGAGGAUGAUCAGCCACAUUGGGACUGAGACACGGCCCAAACUCCUACGGGAGGCAGCAGUGGGGAAUCUUGCACAAUGGAGGAAACUCUGAUGCAGCGAUGCCGCGUGAGUGAAGAAGGCCCUUGGGUUGUAAAGCUCUUUCGUCGGGGAAGAAAAUGACUGUACCCGAAUAAGAAGGUCCGGCUAACUUCGUGCCAGCAGCCGCGGUAAUACGAAGGGACCUAGCGUAGUUCGGAAUUACUGGGCCUAAAGAGUUCGUAGGUGGUUGAAAAAGUUAGUGGUGAAAUCCCAGAGCUUAACUCUGGAACUGCCAUUAAAACUUUUCAGCUAGAGUAUGAUAGAGGAAAGCAGAAUUUCUAGUGUAGAGGUGAAAUUCGUAGAUAUUAGAAAGAAUACCAAUUGCGAAGGCAGCUUUCUGGAUCAUUACUGACACUGAGGAACGAAAGCAUGGGUAGCGAAGAGGAUUAGAUACCCUCGUAGUCCAUGCCGUAAACGAUGUGUGUUAGACGUUGGAAAUUUAUUUUCAGUGUCGCAGGGAAACCGAUAAACACACCGCCUGGGGAGUACGACCGCAAGGUUAAAACUCAAAUGAAUUGACGGGGACCCGCACAAGUAGUGGAGCAUGUGGUUUAAUUCGAAGAUACGCGCAGAACCUUACCAACACUUGACAUGUUCGUCGCGACUCUAAGAGAUUAGAGUUUUCGGUUCGGCCGGACGAAACACAGGUGCUGCAUGGCUGUCGUCAGCUCGUGUCGUGAGAUGUUGGGUUAAGUCCCGCAACGAGCGCAACCCUCACUUUUAGUUGCCAUCAUUUAGUUGGGCACUCUGAAAGAACUGCCAGUGAUAAGCUGGAGGAAGGUGGGGAUGACGUCAAGUCCUCAUGGCCCUUACGUGUUGGGCUACACACGUGCUACAAUGGUAUCUACAACAGGAAGCAAGACUGCGAAGUUAAGCAAAUCCCUAAAAGAUACCUCAGUUCGGAUCGCACUCUGCAACUCGAGUGCAUGAAGCUGGAAUUACUAGUAAUCGUGGAUCAGCGUGCCACGGUGAAUGCGUUCCCGGGUCU
rnacentral:rRNA from 1 species